AGUUACAAAACCUCCAGCUCAAUAAUACAGAGACACUGAGAAUGGAAACAAAAGUGUUCAUCUGUGUUCUGUGUGCCAGUUUGGUAACACUCUUAGUGCAUAAGACAUCAUCAGCCGCAAUAAAUGAAGGCAUAUUUCUAUCAUACAAACCCUCUGAGCAAGGUCCUGUUAAUGGAAGUAAUUACGAGCAGAUGACUAACCUUACCCUAAAUACAAAUUCAACCCAAGAAAGUAUUUUGGAAAAGACCAUUGCGCCGAACCUUGUAGAGGUACUGUUCAGUGCUUUCAUUUCUCAUGAAAAAAGAAAGAAAAAAAAAACUGACCUACUCAGAAAUCUAUCCUGUAAGUCAGGGGUCUCCAACCCUGCUCCUGGAGAGCUACUGUCCUGCAAAUUUCAGCUCCAACCCCAAUCAAACACACCCGAACCAGCUAAUCAAGGUGUUCAGGGCUAUUUGAUAAUUACAGACAGGUGUGUUGGAGCAGGGUUGGAACUGAUGAUAGCUCUCCAGGAGCAGGGUUGGAGAUCCCUGCAAUACAUUUUAUCUAGGGGUUGUAGGGUUCUUAGGGAAAUCAUUUAUGAAAUUAUAUGA
ensembl:lncRNA